UCCCUGGAGGACUAGUGGUUAGGCCUCAGCACUCUCACUGCCAUGGCCCAGGUUUGAUUCCUGGCCAGGGAC
rnacentral:tRNA from 1 species